rnacentral:misc_RNA from 1 species
ACGGAAGAUGGGGAUUACCAGGUAAAACUGCGCAACCUGGUACGUUUCCUGAUGGAAGGGGACAAGGCCAAGAUCUCUCUGAGAUUCCGUGGUCGUGAGAUGGCCCACCAGGAGCUGGGUAUGGAACUGUUGAAGCGGGUUGAGGCUGACCUGAUUGAAUACGGUACCGUCGAACAGCAUCCUAAGAUGGAAGGACGCCAACUGAUGAUGGUCAUCGCUCCCAAACGCAAGAAGUAACCUCCAGGGCACGGCAGGCCUUAUGGUUAUCUAUAUCAACUGAAUGCGGAGUAUCCGAACAUGCCAAAGAUGAAAACCAAA